rnacentral:rRNA from 1 species
UGGGGAAUUUUUCCGCCAAAUGGGGAAAAGCCUGGCGGGAGCCCAUUCCCGCGGGAGGGAUGGAAGGGAUUUGGUUCUUUAAACCCUUUCUUCUCAAGAAAGAAGUUCUGCCCGGUACCUUGAGAAUAAGCAUCGGCUAACUCCGUGCCAGCAGCCGCGGUAAUACGGGGGAUGCAAGCCUUAUCCGGAAUCAUUGGGCGUAAAGCGCCUGUAGGUUGUUUAAUAAGUCUGUUGUUAAAGACUAGGGCUUAACCCUAGGAAAGCAAUGGAAACUACUAGACUAGAGUAUGAUAGGGGUAGAGGGAAUUUCUAGUGUAGCGGUGAAAUGCGUAGAUAUUAGGAAGAACACCGGUGGCGAAGGCGCUCUACUGGAUCAUUACUGACACUCAGAGGCGAAAGCCUAGGGUAGCAAAAGGGAUUAGAUACCCCUGUAGUCA